rnacentral:rRNA from 1 species
CGGGAGGCAGCAGUGGGGAAUAUUGGACAAUGGGCGCAAGCCUGAUCCAGCCAUACCGCGUGGGUGAAGAAGGCCUUCGGGUUGUAAAGCCCUUUUGUUGGGAAAGAAAUCCAGCCGGCUAAUACCCGGUUGGGAUGACGGUACCCAAAGAAUAAGCACCGGCUAACUUCGUGCCAGCAGCCGCGGUAAUACGAAGGGUGCAAGCGUUACUCGGAAUUACUGGGCGUAAAGCGUGCGUAGGUGGUUAUUUAAGUCCGUUGUGAAAGCCCUGGGCUCAACCUGGGAACUGCAGUGGAUACUGGAUGACUAGAAUGUGGUAGAGGGUAGCGGAAUUCCUGGUGUAGCAGUGAAAUGCGUAGAGAUCAGGAGGAACAUCCAUGGCGAAGGCAGCUACCUGGACCAACAUUGACACUGAGGCACGAAAGCGUGGGGAGCAAACAGGAUUAGAUACCCUGGUAGUCCACGCCCUAAACGAUGCGAACUGGAUGUUGGGUGCAAUUUGGCACGCAGUAUCGAAGCUAACGCGU